rnacentral:rRNA from 1 species
UGGGGAAUAUUGGACAAUGGGCGAAAGCCUGAUCCAGCCAUGCCGCGUGUGUGAAGAAGGUCUUCGGAUUGUAAAGCACUUUAUGUUGGGAGGAAGGGCAUUAACCUAAUACGUUAGUGUUUUGACGUUACCGACAGAAUAAGCACCGGCUAACUCUGUGCCAGCAGCCGCGGUAAUACAGAGGGUGCAAGCGUUAAUCGGAAUUACUGGGCGUAAAGCGCGCGUAGGUGGUUUGUUAAGUUGGAUGUGAAAUCCCCGGGCUCAACCUGGGAACUGCAUUCAAAACUGACUGACUAGAGUAUGGUAGAGGGUGGUGGAAUUUCCUGUGUAGCGGUGAAAUGCGUAGAUAUAGGAAGGAACACCAGUGGCGAAGGCGACCACCUGGACUAAUACUGACACUGAGGUGCGAAAGCGUGGGGAGCAAACA